rnacentral:rRNA from 1 species
GACGAAUGCUGGCUGCGUGCUUAACACAUGCAAGUCGAACGGUGAAGGAGGGCUUGCCCUCCGGAUCAGUGGCGAACGGGUGAGCAACACGUGGGCAACCUGCCCCUCACUCUGGGAUAACACCGGGAAACCGGUGCUAAUACCGGAUACGACCAGGCGCGACAUCUCGCUUGGUGGAAAGAACUUCGGUGAGGGAUGGGCCCGCGGCCUAUCAGCUUGUUGGUGAGGUAACGGCUCACCAAGGCGACGACGGGUAGCCGGCCUGAGAGGGCGACCGGCCACACUGGGACUGAGACACGGCCCAGACUCCUACGGGAGGCAGCAGUGGGGAAUAUUGCGCAAUGGGCGAAAGCCUGACGCAGCGACGCAGCGUGAGGGACGAAGGCCUUCGGGUUGUAAACCUCUUUCAGCGGGGACGAAGCGAAAGUGACGGUACCCGCAGAAGAAGCACCGGCUAACUACGUGCCAGCAGCCGCGGUAAUACGUAGGGUGCAAGCAUU